rnacentral:rRNA from 1 species
CAGUCGCCGCGGUAAUACGUAGGUGGCAAGCGUUGUCCGGAAUUAUUGGGCGUAAAGCGCGCGCAGGCGGAUAGGUCAGUCUGUCUUAAAAGUUCGGGGCUUAACCCCGUGAUGGGAUGGAAACUGCCAAUCUAGAGUAUCGGAGAGGAAAGUGGAAUUCCUAGUGUAGCGGUGAAAUGCGUUGAGAUCGGAAAGAACACCAACGGCGAAAGCACUCUACUGGGCCGACACUGACACUGAGAGACGAAAGCUAGGGGAGCAAAUGGGAUUAGAUACCCCCGUAGUCCCUGUCUCUUAUACA